rnacentral:rRNA from 1 species
GUAGGUGGCAAGCGUUGUUCGGAAUUAUUGGGCGUAAAGCGCGCGCAGGCGGUUCUUUAAGUCUGAUGUGAAAGCCCACGGCUCAACCGUGGAGGGUCAUUGGAAACUGGAGAACUUGAGUACAGAAGAGGAAAGCGGAAUUCCACGUGUAGCGGUGAAAUGCGUAGAGAUGUGGAGGAACACCAGUGGCGAAGGCGGCUUUCUGGUCUGUAACUGACGCUGAGGCGCGAAAGCGUGGGGAGCAAACAGGAUUAGAUACCCUGGUAGUCCACGCGUAAACGAUGAGUGCUAAGUGUUAGGGGGUUUCGCCCCCCUUAGUGCUGCAGCUAACGCAUUAAGCACUCCGGCCUGGGAGUACGGCCGCAAGGCUG